CAGACCCCCGUCCCCGCACGUCCCCGUCCCGCUGCGAUGGUCGGGCAACCGGCCAGCCCCUGCGCUGCGCGGCUGGGCGCGGGGGAGCGCGGCGCUGGCGUUUUUGCGACCACGUAGUAAGCCUGCGGCCAGUCCCUCUCCGCCCCCCUCCCCUCCCCGGCACGGAUCGACGUGUCAGCCCCGAAAGUUUAUUUUUAGGCCCUGGGAGAGUUCCCUAUAAAGGUCCCGCGGCGUGAGCGGGGCGGUGAGACGUGGCACUGCGCGGCUGGCGGCCGAGGCGCGCAAGCAUCUUCCCCAGCCACUUCCUUUAACUGACACAUUCAAAAUGAAGAAGAAGAUACAAGUGAGAAUGAAGAAUACCUUGGAGAAACCCAGUCAAAAAGUUUGAGGAGCAGAAACAAUAGGAAAUAUUAAUAACUCUGGUGUCUUAAAUACAUCAGAUUUUGGACUGAAAUGAUGCAAAAUUACAAACCUAAGACAUGACCCUAUUACAUUUGUAUCUAGAUUCACAGAUGUUAAAAUCAAUACAUAAUAAAAAUAUUAGCAUGUUUUUCCCUCUACUUUGGAUGAUAAAGUAUUCUGCUGCCUCACACAACUUUCUUGUAUAUACUAACUUAAGUUUUAGUUUUUUGGUUGCUAGUCCCAAGACACCUCCUUAAAGUAAGCCAGGCUAUAUAUUAGAAAUCUAUUAGUUUCUUCUCUCUGUUUGCAAGUCCAUAACCAUCGGAUUCCUGUGUUACUACAUCACCCAGCUGUACAAGUGGAAUUUGGACAAAGAGCACAUAUGUAUGACCUUAUCACUGCCAAAUGGUCUAAAGCAUAAGACAUAGACCUCAUAUAGACUUGAGGCUUUUAUGCUGGCCUUUUUGAGUAGAGAAGAUACUUGGCGUAACUCAUGCCUUCAUAGAAUUAGACCAUCACAAGCCUUAGAAGAAAUCUUAACUGACUGUGUAGUGCUAAUACUUGGCCAACAUUUCUGUGACACUGAUCCAGCAUUAGGAGCUCUAAAUCAAGUUUUCCCAGGAAAGUGCACACGGCAGUGAGGCAUACGGCAUGGUGUAGUGAUGGUGGAGUUGUCUGCGCACAAGAAUUUUAUAGUAAAUUCUCCAAGUAGGCCAACCCCCAGGUCACUUUUAAGAAGUGAUUUAGCUAAAUUAGAGCAAACUCCUGUGUGAACAUUCUUGGUUUGCUUUGAGCAUAUCUCAGAUCCACUAAAAAAUGCAUGUAAAUUAAAUUGAAAUGAACAAAAAAAGGCUAAUCAGAAAAGGGUGUUCCUAUGAAGAGCCUCACUGACUGUCUUUAAUGAGAGCUCAUUUACCCCUUUAGUUAAACGCAGACAGAAUAUUUAUGUGACCAAGAUCUCCCUCACCCUCUGCCCUUUCACUCUCCAAGACUCACAGUGAACACAAUAAGCUAGAAAAAACUGUCAAGAGGGUUUAUGUAGGAAAUAAGACAGUUGGGAGCUUAACAAGAUGUGUAAAGUUUCAGAAAAUAAGCCUCAUUCCAAAACACUUUGGAAGAGGAGGGAUGUCCAGAUGUACUAUCAAAGAGCAAGAAUCACUUUUUUCUUUUUGCAGUUAGACCCAGUUUCACUUAGAUUACUAAGGAUUUUUACUAUGUAAUAAAACUUGGGUAUUCAUAAGAGAUCAGGUUAGAGGAAGAUAACAGAAACCAAUGUUAAGCGUGUAAAUCCACCAUCAUGCUAUAAACACUACCAGAAGAUACCAAAAGGAGACCAAGACUGUAACGUCCACACGCCUUGAAGUACCUCUUAUCUCUAAUGAACAUCAAUUCAGAGCAGAAGCUGAGGGCCUGCGAGGUGGGGUGGGGUACGCGCUGAUGGUGCUAUAUAAACAAAAUAAGGCUGUUUGCUGUUGGUUCUUUCAUCAGCCAUAUGUUUACAAAGACAUUAAAGUCUAGAAUUUUAAAAGUCGUCGUAGCAUGACAAAAUUGUUCAUGAAAUAAUUUGCAUAAAAAUGUUAGAUUUCAAUUGAGUUUGGCAGCUGUGGACAGAGUUUCUAAUUUAAAAGACAAGUGAGUAAAGGAAAAAAUACAUAGGAUUACAUAGCCAACGCUAUCUUUUUUAUUCUAAUAAUCAAUUCCUUCUACGACCAAAAGGAGACUGUUAAUAAUAGGACUCAGUCGACAAGUGGAAAAAAACUUUAAUCAUCUCAAGAAAAAAGGAGAAAAAAUUGCAACCCAAAGCCUCCAUGCCUACCAACAUUCUUGACUUUUCACAAAAACAGGCUAUGCAUUAUGCCCUAAAGACACAAACUUGGACCACAAGAUAGGAACUAGUUUUAAAGUUAAGGACCUUUCUGAAGAAAAAAUCUUCCCAAAGACAUUCAUUUUGAGCACUUAAUAAAAGUGGAUAACUAGCACAAGGGAAGAGACUUUUUUUCCAAAGUGUAUACACACAGGAGGAAAGCAAAGAGUAACUCAACAUUGUCAAUGUUUCUGGUUGUAGCAUGAUAAAUCAUACAGAAAAAAAAUAAUGACACAUAGUCAUUAACAUCAAGUUCCAGGAGAGUUCUACAUAGUGAUUUCUCCAUGAGACAGAAGCAAAUGCAGUGUUAUAGCAGCUGCACGUGGAAACAAGCAGCUCUGUGAAAAGAUCUACUGAAGCCUGCUUUCCCAAGGCUGCAUCUUAUAGCUGAAUAGUGAAACCCCCAGGUCCUCCUGCUUUCCAUAUGCUGGGAAAUGUGUGAACAAUGCUCCUCCAUCCCUCAAGUUCUUGCUGCUUUCCCCAUGUCCUCUGGCCUCCUGCCCUCCCAGCCUAACCCCUAGCCUGGUUGGUCAGCUGGGCAGGGUAGAAGAAUGGUGACCAGGCUGGAGCUCAAUAGUGCCUGCUGGCUCUUUGACUGGUGGACUACUGCUGAACACUAGCUACCAUGCACACUGCCUCUAAGAGGCUGGCAGGGGUCAAAAACGUACUCUGCUGCACAGAUGGGACUGUUCAGUUAUUUCAAAGACUAUUAGAGAUUGACUGACAGCUUAAUCAUCAUUUUAGGCAACCAGGAUAAAAUCUGAAGCUUUUAUUAAUCCUGGCAUUGUAUUUCCAUAAAGCAACUUCUUUGUUGUGGGUUUUUUGCAAUUAGAUAUAUAAGUUUUCUCAAAUUAGAGCAACAAAGCAAAUAUUUGCAUAUAUACCCAAAGUCUAAUGUAAAACAGCAAAUAAAUAUGUUCUAUAAUCAUCUUUGCUCUCUGAAAGUUUAUUUAAU